GUGGAGAUGGCUGAUCGGACGAAGGCAACGGAUUGCCAAUCCGUUGUUCGAGUUAUUCGUACCAAGGGUUCAAAUCUCUCUUUUUUCG
rnacentral:tRNA from 2 species